GACGAACGCUGGCGGCGUGCCUAAUACAUGCAAGUAGGACGCAGUUGCGAACGGGUGAGUAACGCGUAGGUAACUGCCUAUUAGAGGGGGAUAACUAUUGGAAACGAUAGCUAAUACCGCAUACUAGUAGAUGGACCUGCGUUGUAUUAGCUAGUAGGUAGGGUAAUGGCCUACCUAGGCAAGGAUACAUAGCCGACCUGAGAGGGUGAUCGGCCAAACUGGGACUGGAGAAAGGCCCAGACUCCUACGGGAGGCAGCAGUAGGGAAUCUUCGGCAAUGGGGGGAACCCUGACCGAGCAACGCUGCGUGAGUGAAGAAGGUUUUCGGAUCGUAAAGCUCUGUUGUUAAGGAAGCGGUACUUAACCAGAAAGGGACGGCUAACUACGUGCCAGCAGCCGCGGUAAUUC
rnacentral:rRNA from 1 species